rnacentral:rRNA from 1 species
GAUGAACGCUAGCGGAAGGCAUAAUACAUGCAAGUCGAACGGAUGUAGCAAUACAUUAGUGGCGCACGGGUGCGUAACGCGUAUGCAACCUACCUUCAUCAGGGGGAUAACUACUCGAAAGGGUGGCUAACACCGCAUAAUACUACUGAAUGGCAUCAUUUGGUAUUUAAAUCUGAGGAGGAUAAAGAUGGGCAUGCGUCUGAUUAGCUAGUUGGUGUGGUAACGGCGCACCAAGGCGACGAUCAGUAGGGGAACUGAGAGGUUGGUCCCCCACACUGGCACUGAGAUACGGGCCAGACUCCUACGGGAGGCAGCAGUAGGGAAUAUUGGUCAAUGGUGGGAACACUGAACCAGCCAUUCCGCGUGCAGGAAGAAGGGUCUCUGACUUGUAAACUGCUUUAGCAAGGAAAGAAAAAGCUCAUGCGUGAGAAAUUGACGGUACCUUGAGAAUAAGCACCGGCUAGCUACAUGCCAGCAGCCGCGGUAA